rnacentral:lncRNA from 12 species
CACCUCUUCUCUUGCUGUAACACUACUGCAGGAGGUUGAGCCCAUGCAGUCAGGAGUUGAGCUGGUUUUGAACUUUUGUGUCACUCUGGUUAUUUUCAGUACACCAUUAUCUUCACAUUUCUCUAGUGUUAUCUUGUGCUUAUGCUUGAGGCUAUUUUCCAGAAGGCUUCUCUUAAUGUUCCUGGUUCACCUUUAGCUUAAGUCCUUCCCUAUUUCCUGGCACACAGAGACUGUCUCCACACUCUAGUUCCUCCUCCUACACGCCAGGCGAUGGCUAUUCUUUGUGGCUCAUGCUAGCAAGCCAGUUGGUGGGAGGAGGGGCUACUCUGUUAUUCUUGUCCAGUCUCAGUGGUAGGUGGGUUCUGAAACACUAGUUGUGGGGAGCUCAUAAAUUGGAAAAACUUUCCUUAAUAGUAAGUACUCACUUUGUUUUCUUAUUACUUAAAAAAAAAAAAAAAAAACUAAAACCCUUAACCUGGCCUUUACAGGCUUUUAUGUCUGUCUCUUCAGGUUUCUUCUUCAAACUUUAGCCAAAAUGGACUUCGUUGAAUUCCUUUCUGCCAGAGGAGAAGGAGCAUGUGAUUUUGGAAAUAUGGUGAUCCAAGCAUAAAGACCACAUGGAGAGAGAAAGGAAACAAAAGUUUCAAUCCUAACUUUGGAAGCAGUCAAUGCCAGAGAAUACAAUUUUAGAUAUGAAAUACAUUUAUGGGGAAUCCAGACUACAGAUCCUUACAUCUAAUCUGUGUCCCUGGAAGACUGUUGGUACUGGAAGAAGUACAGGGAGAGAGGACCCUAAGGACCAACUGGCACCAACUCCAAGUCCCGACCACAAUGCUGGAACUCCAGAUAAGUAGAUCAUAUCUGAUAAGAAUCUAUUAUUUGUUUAAUGCUUGCUCAGACCUACACAGAAUAUACUAAGUAUAACUUCCUUGCCCUUUCAUGUCCACAUUUUUGC